UACGUAGGGGGCAAGCGUUGGUCCGGAUUUAUUGGGCGUAAAGAGCGUGUAGGCGGCCUGACAAGUCUGCUGUGAAAACUCGAGGCUCAACCUCGAGAUGUCGGCGGAAACUGUCUGGCUAGAGUCCGGAAGAGGAGAGUGGAAUUCCUGGUGUAGCGGUGAAAUGCGCAGAUAUCAGGAAGAACACCUAUGGCGAAGGCAGCUCUCUGGGACGGUACUGACGCUGAGACGCGAAAGCCAGGGGAGCAAACGGG
rnacentral:rRNA from 1 species